rnacentral:lncRNA from 1 species
GAAUAUGGAAUAUUGUAUAUAACAUCAAAUAUGUAUAUAGACCAAUAAUAUUUCUUCAAGCAAAAUUUUAUUAUAAUGUUUAAUGCGCAUGUGACUUAUGAGGAUGUUUAAUUUGUAUUAUACAUGUUGUAAAACAUCUACAUCAGCAAAUAUGUGACAAAAUGAUGAGAAAAAUGAAAGGGGAAGGGAGAAUAAAAUGAGAAUUAACAUUUAAUUGUAAUUAUAAUUAGCAAUUAUAUUUUAAAAGAAUUUAAAGUAUUUGUUUGUAUAUUUAAAAGUUAUAAGUUCAAUUUAAAAAUAUUAUUUGAUAUUU